UUACCUUGUUGCUUCGGCGGG
rnacentral:rRNA from 1 species